rnacentral:rRNA from 1 species
UACGUAGGGGGCAAGCGUUGUCCGGAUUUAUUGGGCGUAAAGAGCGUGUAGGCGGUUUGGUAGGUCCGCUGUGAAAACUCGAGGCUCAACCUCGAGACGCCGGUGGAAACCAUCAGACUAGAGUCCGGAAGAGGAGAGUGGAAUUCCUGGUGUAGCGGUGAAAUGCGCAGAUAUCAGGAAGAACACCCGUGGCUAAGGCGGCUACCUGGACAGAUACUGACGCUGAGGCGCGAGAGCGUGGGGAGCAAACGGG